rnacentral:piRNA from 1 species
UAAUGGAGUAAACACAUGCUGCCGCCA